rnacentral:Y_RNA from 1 species
GGCUGGUCCCAUGUAGUAGUGUUUACAACUAAUUGAUCACCACCAGUUACAGAUUUUUUCAUUUUUUCUCCAAUCCCACUGCUUCACUUGACAGCUUUAA